rnacentral:tRNA from 1 species
GCCCGGAUAGCCCAGUUGGUAGCGCAGGGGAUUGAAAAUCCCCGUGUUGGGGGGUCGGUUCCGCCUCCGGGCACCA